GUUAAUAAGUCCUUUUGCAUAAAUUAUGAUAUAAUGUCAUAAUUCAUUAUGUCUGUUACCCAUGGAAUUCAGACUUACUAAAUUGUGAUCUAUAAGGAAUGUAAUAAAAGAAAAAGUAAGAAUCUACAAAAGGUUUAUCCUUGUUUUGAUUCUAAAUAUGUGGUAUAUAUGGCAUACAUAUAUUUUCAUUUUCACUUUUGUUUCUUGGUAAUGAGCUUUUCAAAAAAUGUAGGACUACAUGUUGUAUAUGCUAAUAUCUUUUUGUAUGCUGUACUGACAGUCCUCAACCUGGAAGAUAUGUUUUAUUCCCAACCAUCUAUAAUCCAUUCUCUAUGAAGUUCAGCCUGUCUGCCCAAAUUCCUUUGGAAAUACAUAGUUAGUCAACCAACAUAGAAACAAUCAAACUUGAAGUCCUCAACAUGGAAGAAUUGGUUUGUUCUUAACCAUCUAUAAUCCAUUCUCUAUGAAGUGAAGCCUGGCUGCUGGUCUUCCUUUGGAAAUACACAGUUAGUCAAUCAACAUAGAAACACACAAACUUGAAGGAUUCUCUAGUGAGGGCUUAUGGAAAUGAUCUAUGUCUACUCUUAGAAUGGUGAAAGACUAUCAGAUUAUGCAAAGACUAACAGAAUAUCCUCUCUUGGAACACUGAAACAAGAAAACCAAACUUAAGAAGAUGGAGGAUUUAAGAAGAACAGAGAUAAAUAUGAUUUCCAACCAAUUUAACCAGUACGAUCAUAGACUGUGGUUUACAGGAUGACAAAGAAAGGGCCCAGGAUUGUAUCUUUCACUGUCAGACACUGACUAUGGAUAAAGUGUAAUCAUUUAUCAAACUGAGAUCUAGUCAAAUCAAGUAUUGAAAAUAUGAUUUUCUGAUAGCAUGAGCUCUUUAAAAACUAAUUCUCACGGACCUCAAAGUAUCUGAAUGUGACUUUUAUUUUUACCAAUUCAUAUUGAAGACUGUUGUUAUGUAUGGGAAUUAUACAUUUAAACCUUUUAUUUUUCAUCUAAUUUUUACAACCCCCUAGAAAUUACACAGAUAUCCAGAUGCUGGAUUUAAUGUUAUUAUUUAACUUUCCUGGAAUUGUAAAUAUAUUUUGUUUGUGUAUGUAUCAUGUUUAAUUUUGAAUUUAAAAUUGGUCUCAAUAAGACCCCCAAUAAAGAUGCAAGUGUCCCAUAAUCUGUGGUUUAAUAAUAUCUUGAAUAUCUUUAUCAUACCAUAUUCAUCAUACUAAUUACAUAUAGAAUGGUUGUAGGAAUACACUUUGUUGUUUAGGACACUUUGUCAAGGUCAAAGCAUAAGAUUAUUGAGAUGACUUCUUUGACAAUAAUUUGUAACUUACAAACUUCACAUCAUAAGUACACAGAUGAAGAAUCAAUAAGACAUUUCUAUAGAUUUAUUCUUUUGGAUCAUUUACUCCUGGGUAAAAGUUUAGUUACUGAGAUUACUGAUUUGAGUCCUGUAAUGCAAUAACUUUAACAUUGUGUGAUAACUUAUAGACUUUAUAAAAAUUAGGUGCAAAUUCUUAGGAAAGGAUUGAAAUGUUAAUCAAAUGUACAAUGUUCAAGGGUGUUUAUAUGACUAUUACUAUGUAAUACCUAGGGUUUCUGUAAAAAUCCUAUAUUCACUACAUAGAUAAAGACCGGUAUAAUAUAUAUUUUAAACUAUGAUGAAGGAAAAAAAAAGGUCAAAAGCUCUCCCCUUCAUAUCUUUCAUAUUCUGUCAUACACAACAAUAGAUAAAUUGCAGUCAUUUAACAAACUGAGGUCUAAUCAAAUCCUAGAAUUGAUAUUGUGAUUUUCUGAUAGUAUGAGAUCUUCAAAAAAAAAAAAUAAUUCCCAGACUUCAAAGUAUCUAAAUGUGACUUUUAUUUUUACCAAUUCAUAUUGAAGACAGUUGUUAUGUAUGAGAAGUAUACAUUUAAACCUUUUAUUUUUCAUCUUAUUUCUACAACCCCUAACAAAUUACACAGAUGUUUAAAAGCUAGCUUUGGUGUAAUUAUUACUUUCCUGGAACUGUAAAUACAUUUUGUUUGUGUAUGUGUGUGUGUGUCCUAUUUUGAAUUUAAUAGGUCUCAAUAGGACCCCCAUAAAGAUGUAAGUGUCCCCUGAUCUGUGAUGUAAUAAUAUCUUGAAUAUUUCUAUCAACCAUUAGACUUCAUGCUUACUACACAGAACAGGUUAGAGUAAUACACUUAGUUUUAUAGGACACUUUGUCAGGGUCAAAGCAUGAGAUUAUUGAGAUAACUACCUUUGACAAUAAUUUGUAACCUGCAAAAUUCACAUCAUAAGUAAAGAAA